rnacentral:lncRNA from 1 species
AACGCCGACCAUCGCCAGCCGUUCACAACUCCUCACCAAGGCAUCAGGACUUCUCCUCCGCACAUGCCUGAACCACCGCAACCUCGCUUCUCGCAUCUUCUCAUCCACCGGGGCCACCCCCACCUUCUCUCGAAUGACUUCAUUCUUAAUCUUAUCUAACCUGGUGAGCCCGCACAUCCACCUGAGCAUUCUCAUCUCCGCAACCUUCAUUCUCUGAACAUGAGAGUUCUUCACUGGCCAGCAUUCCGCCCCAUACAACAUG